GAGACUCUGUGCGCGUGCAUAUCAAUAAGCGGAGGAAAAGAAACUAACGAGGAUUCCCUUAGUAACGGCGAGUGAAGCGGGAAGAGCUCAAAUUUGAAAUCUUCAAGGUUCUACCUUGACGAAUUGUAGUUUAUAGAAGUGUUUUCUGUUAGUGGAGUGGCAAAAGUUCUUUGGAAUAGGACAUCAUAGAGGGUGAGAAUCCCGUAUUUGGUCAUUCCUCCUAGCGUUGUGAUACACUUUCAACGAGUCGGAUUGUUUGGGAAUGCAGUCCAAAAUGGGUGGUAAAUUUCAUCUAAAGCUAAAUAUUGGCGAGAGACCGAUAGCGAACAAGUACCGUGAGGGAAAGAUGAAAAGAACUUUGAAAAGAGAGUUAAACAGUACGUGAAAUUGUCAAAAGGGAAGCGUUUGACACCAGUGUUGUUUUUCCGAAAAUCAAUUACGAAUGUUUUGUUUUUGAGGAGUUAUGACUUCAUCGGCUUGCUCCUUUCCUUACGAAACUUUCUUAAUGCACUUUUCGGUUAACAAGUCAACAUCAAUUUCUUUUGUUGUAAAAGGGUAUGAGGAAGGUGGCUUUCUUUUCGGAGAAAGUGUUUAUAGCCUUGUAGCCUCUACAAUCGGAGAGAUUGAGGUCUGCAGCGUAGAUCCUUCGGGGCUAGAUACAUUUGAUGCUAAGUUAUAGCUUUUUCAUAGACAACUUGUUGACUAUGAUUUAAUCAUGUAGCUUACUCGUAGUGCUAUUUUACCUACGCUUAGGAUGUUGAUCUGUAGUGCGUGCGC
rnacentral:rRNA from 1 species